rnacentral:rRNA from 1 species
UACGUAGGGGGCGAGCGUUGUCCGGAAUUAUUGGGCGUAAAGGGUUCGCAGGCGGUCUGAUAAGUCAGAUGUGAAAGGCGUAGGCUCAACCUACGUAAGCAUUUGAAACUGUCAGACUUGAGUUAAGGAGAGGAAAGUGGAAUUCCUAGUGUAGCGGUGAAAUGCGUAGAUAUUAGGAGGAACACCGGUGGCGAAGGCGGCUUACUGGACUGUAACUGACGCUGAGUCACGAAAGCGUGGGUAGCAAACAGGAUUAGAUACCCUGGUAGUCCCUGA